UUGAAAGAAUCCAUCAUUGAUACAAUUUAAAGAGAAACUAUUACCAAUCAUCAAAAUUUCUUUGUUUUCUUUCUUAAUAGAGUUAAGUGAAUUCUUGCUCCUCUUUUUUUGGAAUUUCACUUCUCCCGAUUAAUCUAAUACCCAAUAACCUUUUCUCUUCACCUUUCACGUUUCUACGCCCACCUUUCAUGUUCUAGCCCUUUUUCCAUGUUUCUAGAUCUCUUUCUUGAAGGUUUUCACAAAUUUUUCAUCAAAAUACAUAUUUUAAUUCAAGAAAUUUUCUCUAUCGUUAAAUGAAAUCUCUUUAUCAAUUAAAGUUGAUUUCUCGAUUGGCAAGGGUUUUAGAUUCGGGAAAACAUAUGUACGUCUACAAUGUAUGAAUCAACAGUUUAUUUGUGUAUUCAUUCUAUUUAUAUAUCAAAAAGUUUUAUAUUUUUUAUUUUUACAUUGUAUUUCAAUCUCAAUUAGUAUACCAACAUGUUUGUAUUUCCUUCUUAAUUUGUAUCCGUCCUAACUGUAUGAUAACAAUUUUAUAUUUCAUUGGGUAUUCAUUCUGUAUUUCAA